AGAUAAUGGACUUGAUCCAAAGCUCACUGAAGUCAGUGGGAGUCUUUCCACUUACUUCAUUGGGUUUGGGAUCAGGUCCAGUGGCU
rnacentral:pre_miRNA from 1 species